rnacentral:tRNA from 1 species
GCAAUAGUUCAGUGGUAGAGCAUCUGCUUUGCAUGCAGAAGUCCCCAGGUUCAAUCCCUGGCAUCUCCG